UAGAAGGGGUUGAGAAGGGGUGCGGUGUAAAUCUACUCAUCAUAUUAAACCAGGCCUUCCUAGAACACCUGAGUCUCUGAGUCCUGACUGAUGCCUCAAAGUUACUCCUCACUCACCUCCUAAGUUGGAGGGCUUCUAUCUCAGACAAAUCACUAAACCUACAGAUAGGAGAGAGUGGAGAGAAUCAGAUCCUGUUGGAGAACUGUAACCCCCCUGAACCGACACUACCAGAUAACCCCAGAGAAGCAGAGGAAAGAGCAGAUAGCAGACGCACAGAUAGCACAGAUGCGUCAGUUUGUCUGGACAUACACGGCAGGUCAACAGCAGCUGAAUUUGAGUAGACCUCAGAUCUGCACCGCAAGAAGAGGUUGGAUCUUGAUUAGCUCUAGAUUCAGACGGCAUACCUACUAUCUGUCUGCUCACUGUUUAGCAGUUCUCUUUUGGGUUUUAAUUUAGGACUUUUUUCAUUGGACAUCAAGAGGCAACGGUAUAGAUAAAUUGUUUAUAUUGUACAAUAUAUAUAUAUAUAUUUUUUUUAAAUUGGUUUUAUGUUCUCUGCAGCCACAUAUAGCACAUUGUGGUCAAGUUUAUCCACUUUGCAAGUGAAAUUAUAUUUAAUAGAGUCUGUAUUUAAUUUUCUUUAACCCUGUGUAGAUUUAUUCAUAGCUUUUGAAGAGCAGUGCAUGUCUCGCAACCUGUCCAUAAUGAUAUUCGUCUAAAUUAACUAGCUUUAAUGAAGUGACAGAUGAAAUUGUGCGAAAUUACCAUAGAUUUGAUUGGAUGCACGGCCUUUGAUGUCAAUAAAAGGUAACAGAAACCACUUCCUCUGUUUUAAUAGUUAAUAGGUAAUAAUUGAUUAACAAUAUUAAUAAUUAUUAUUAAAUGUUCAGUAUUAUUAAUUAUUAAUAUUGUUGAUAAUGAUAAUAUUGUUACUUGAAUUUGAGUAUUAGCAUUUAGUGUUUUUUUUUUUCUUGUUUUUUUUUUUUUCACCCUAUGCACAAGUAAAGGUCACAAGACUUCAAGUGCCAUUUGGGACAUUUUAACCAUUUCACCUAGAAACAAAGUCAUAAUUUUAAGGCUGCAAUAAUGAACACUUCUGAGGAAGAAAUAGCUACUAGAUUUGCUGUAGUUCGCAUGCCUUGAAACUCUGAAAGAUAUUAAAGAUAAUGCCACUUUUACAAGAUAUAAAAAUAAGUCUCUGAUGUCCCUAGAGUGUGUAUGUGAAGCUCAAAAUACCCUACAGAUCAUUUUUUAUAGCAUGUUAAAUUUGUCAUUUUUUUGAGGGUGAGCAAAAACGCUCCGUUUUUGUGUGUGUUCCUUGAAAUGCAAAUGAGCUGCUGCUCUCAAGAAGAGGGCGGAGUUUCAAGAGCUUGUGUUAGCAGCGCCUCACAUUACCUCAUGCAGACUUCAUUAAAAUGUUAGAAACUGUUCAGACUUUUAUGUUCAAACCGGAGUCGGACAAUGAUGGAGAGACUCAAGAAGAAGUGACAACAUGUAGAAUGCAACAGGACGUUUCUGAAUGGUUAGCUGAUGAAUUUAUGUAGCUGAUGUGGAGUUACCUAUCUUAAAGUCAUUGAUUAGCAUAUUCUGUCAUGAUAAUCUAUAAAUCAGUCAUGUGGGAACUGUUGUAAGAUGCCUACAGAGCCAGAGAAUAUAUGCUGCAUGAAGAUAGAACAGGUAAUAGACUAUUAUAACUUGUCAUUUUGUCAUCUUGCUUUUAUGACAUGCUAUUGCAUUUGUGUUAUGUACUGUAUUGCAAUAACAUGGCCUCACCCCCUUUGUUGCAUUUUCUCAGGGGCAGGGUUUAUGUAAAUUUUAGGGUUAUUGAUGUCGCAAACCCGGGAAGAAACUCAUUGUAGUCCUUACCAGCCAUAUCUUGUAGUCCUUAAACAGAGAAUUCUUUAAAAGAAAAUAUCUAUCUUUACUUUGAACUUUGAGCGACGUAACUUUGCAGAUGUUGUUUAUGCUCAAACAGCAACAUUACACACUAACUAAAGUUAAAAAAGUGAAAUCAUAAUCAAUCACCUCUUUAAGUUAGGAGUUUUAUACCCUGAUUGGUGAUGUCGAAUGUUUUUAUGUUGUCAUCCUUCUUCAUAGAGACAAAAGGGAUAUAGAAAACAAUAUGCUUAGUAGUCUUUUUGAGGGGUAGCGGUUUGUGGGUUGUUAUUUUUAUGUUUUUUUUCUUGCCUCUCUUAUUUACUUUCUUUGUUCUCCACAUUUUAUGUGCUUUCAGCUGUCAACCAUUGUGUUUCCCUUGCUCUCUCUUCCCCUCUCUCUCUGAGUUACAUGUCGUCAGUGUGUUUAUCAGUGUUUGUACAGACCUAUGGCCUCUCGCUUCUCAAACCCAGGAGCAACACACACAGUGCCGCAGUCUUUUCUGACUGCUGUGAAAUGCAGAGAUGGCUCAGGAAUACUAAUCCCAUUCGCAUGUCAACUGGACGGACCAGAGGAGAAGCUAAUGGGGCGGGCGGGGAUGAGGAGAAGGACACCCUCCUCCAACCCCAGCACUGCAUCAGUGAGUGGCAGAGUCCUCCCGGCCACAGAGAUAAAGAUUAGUAGAGGCCGAGCUGAACACAGAGCACGUGACACUGCACGUUAACCUUCUACUGCUGCCAUUGAAAACAGGGCUUCCACUUUAGGCCGAGCGAGACCUCAAUGGCAUGAUCAAGGGAUGGAGAGUGGAAGUGUGAUGAGGGAGGAGGAAUAAGAGAGAGAAAGAAGUGUCGGACUAUUAUGAAUGGCGAUGGGUGGAGUCAUGCCAGGUGCCAGAGGUUAUGCUAACGACCUUUAAGUGUGGAUACUCUCACUCCAGAGAAGCGGUCGCCCCUGCAGACAUCAGAUGUGAGGAAACAGUCGGACAACAGUGGUUCAGCCUGUUAGGAUGUGUUCCAGCAGAUUGUGGUCAGAUAAACAGUUCUCAGGGCAAAACUUCUAGUAAAUGCUCGACACACCGGUGGGGUCCUCAGAAGAAUGGCUGACCAGAGGAACAGCGCCAUAGCAAUUAAACAGAGGGAUUCACACUUGUCUGGUUCUGAACUUACUUCCAAUCUGGGUUUUGGACACAAGUCAAAGAUAACAGCUGUACACGUUGAGGGAUCAGUGAACCCAGCUGACUCCCUGGCAGCCGGAACACCGGCAGGAACCAGCUCAUAAUUAGAAACGUUUUGGGUCAUCUCGAGGAGAAACAGAGAGAAGAGAGACAUGCAGGGAGAAUAAGAAGCAAGUAUGGAUAUAAUAAUAGAUGCUCAGCCUCAUAGCAUGUCCUAUUUGUGAAAUUGGUGCCAAUGUCAACAAAGAUCAACUUUACAGUCGGAAACAUAGUAUACACAUAUGCAGGUGUGAAUGUUGGUCAAUGCAUUGCAAGUGCGCUCUCAACUUAAAAUUGAUAUGGAAUGGAAAUUUACCCAGUCUUUUUUCUGAAUGCAUCUUAUUGUGUACGUUUCAUUCAUGAAUGUUCAAUAAAAAAUAAAAUGUUGAGCUUGUAA